UAAGGAGGAGGCAAGCGUUAUCAGGAAUUAUUCUGCGUAAAGCAUCCGUAGCUGGCCAUGCAAGUCUGCUCUCAAAGCAUGGAGCUUAACUCCAUAGAGCCAGUGGUAACUGAAUAGCUAGAGUUCGGUAGGGGUAGCGGGAAUUCCCAGUGUAGCGGUGAAAUGCGUAGAGAUUGGGAAGAACAUCGGUGGCGAAAGCGCGCUACUGGGCCGAAACUGACACUGUGGGACGAAAGAUAGGGGAGCGAAAGGG
rnacentral:rRNA from 1 species